rnacentral:rRNA from 1 species
AUUGAACGCUGGCGGCAUGCUUUACACAUGCAAGUCGAACGGUAACAGGCCUUCGGGUGCUGACGAGUGGCGCACGGGUGAGUAAUGCAUCGGAACGUGCCCAGAGGUGGGGGAUAACGCAGCGAAAGCUGUGCUAAUACCGCAUGUGAUCUGAGGAUGAAAGCGGGGGACCAAGCAGCAAUGUUUGGCCUCGCGCCUCUGGAGCGGCCGAUGUCAGAUUAGGUAGUUGGUGGGGUAAAGGCCUACCAAGCCGACGAUCUGUAGCUGGUCUGAGAGGACGACCAGCCACACUGGGACUGAGACACGGCCCAGACUCCUACGGGAGGCAGUAGUGGGGAAUUUUGGACAAUGGGCGCAAGCCUGAUCCAGCAAUGCCGCGUGCGGGAAGAAGGCCUUCGGGUUGUAAACCGCUUUUGUACGGAACGAAAAGGCUCUGGCUAAUACCUGGGGCUGAUGACGGUACCGGAAGAAUAAGCACCGGCUAACUACGUG